GUUAGAGUGGCAGAGCCCGGCAAGUGCUAAAGACCUAAGCUCUUUUAACAGGGGUUCAAAUCCCCUCUUUAACU
rnacentral:tRNA from 1 species